rnacentral:rRNA from 1 species
AUGGACUGCAUCUUCCAGUUUGGGGACCAAUUGGCUAUGCAAGCGAUUCAAUUUGCCCGAGAUGCUGGAAUGAGCCGGGUCAUCUUUGAAACUGAUGCUACAAAUUUGAAGGAUGCCCUGUGCAGCAAUGCAUAUGAUCUCUCACAGCACGGUACUAUCUUUAGGAAGUCCAAGUAUAUGUUGUAUACUAGUUUUAUCAAGUACAAAGUUGUAGCUUGUGUCCGCGAAUGUAAUAGUGUUGCUCAUAAAUUAGUGGGUCAGGGUGCGUCUAUGGAACCUGGUGCUCAUAUUUGUGGCAUGGUACGGUUCCAGACUUUGUCAUCUCUGAUGUAG